rnacentral:rRNA from 1 species
AUUGAACGCUGGCGGCAUGCUUUACACAUGCAAGUCGAACGGCAGCGCGGGCUUCGGCCUGGCGGCGAGUGGCGAACGGGUGAGUAAUACAUCGGAACGUGCCCAGUAGUGGGGGAUAGCUCGGCGAAAGCCGGAUUAAUACCGCAUACGACCUGAGGGUGAAAGCGGGGGAUCUUCGGACCUCGCGCUAUUGGAGCGGCCGAUGGCAGAUUAGCUAGUUGGUGGGGUAAAGGCCUACCAAGGCGACGAUCUGUAGCUAGUCUGAGAGGACGACCAGCCACACUGGGACUGAGACACGGCCCAGACUCCUACGGGAGGCAGCAGUGGGGAAUUUUGGACAAUGGGCGAAAGCCUGAUCCAGCAAUGCCGCGUGUGUGAUGAAGGCCUUCGGGUUGUAAAGCACUUUUGGCGGGAACGAAAAGGACUGUACCAAUACCACGGUUCGAUGACGGUACCCGCAGAAUAAGCACCGGCUAACUACGUG